AUGAUACCAUAUAAUAUGCCUUCCUUGCUGAUUCUUUCUCUUCUAUCGAUUGGUCCUACACUGCAGGUGUGAUAGACCAGGAUGCUUACCCUCCUCUAACCCUUUGGGCACUCUGAAGAAACUAAUGCAUUUGUCAAAUGGCAAAAAUAAGCGUCGUAGCGAGUCAAUUGAGAGAUGUCAAAAGAAAUGGAAAAUUUGCAGUGCCAGGACCACCAACAGGUCUUCGUCUUGGAGGCAACAGAAGUCCAAGACCAAAUAUAAAUACCUGGCUAUAUGCAAAUGCCAUUUUUAGGAGGCAGCACGCGUCAUAGAACUGGAGUAUGAGUUAGGAUCAUCCGAUCUGACUUUCCAGGCCUCACCAAGUCAUGUAACAAAGGAAAGUACCCAAUAGCUGUUUCCUAGCUGUGGGAGAAGGCUGUGCUGCUGUCAUGCAGACAGAAGUUGAGUCCAUCUUUACUACUUAAUACUGCUAAGCCAAUUAUAUUUUAUGAGUAUGCUUUCUUAUAUUAAUCUGAGAUUUUUUCCUUAUUAACCAAGAAUUCAUCAUGAUACUAGUUCUCCCUGCCCUUGUCAUCUGAUCUUUACCUGUCUUUAAGUACUGCUUAAAUACUCUUCUGAUGGCUCUAUAAUUGAGGAAUAGCUAAAAAAGCCAUACAAAUGCUGAUACUUUUCACCAGGCUCAUCUUUUCUGCCCUUUCUUUCAGCCCUUACGCCACUUUCUUAACUAGUUUAAAACAUAUUGACAUAUGUCUUACAUGAUAACUUGCCCAAAUCAUGAUUGUAUGAUCACGGCUGACAAUCUAGUCUCAGGUUGUUGGUGAAAAUUAGGUCAAGUGAUCACUACCUUGUGUGCCUAAAAUAGCUUUUCUAUUAUGCUGCUCUGUGCUAGAAAAUUAGCAUGAGACUUAAUUGCUUUGUGCAACCUUAGCAGCCUCUGUUACCCUAAAGGCUGACACUUCUCAAACUGCUUUUGUUCAUUUUAACCCUGCUUUCUUUGCUUACCUUACGGUCUUGGUCUCAUUUUUGUUUCAAGCAAUGCUACUUCUGGCAUUUCAGCAGAAUAGAAGAAGGCGGUAAUUUUCAUUAAUACUAUGCUCAGGCUCUUUGCUUGUGAAAACUGGCCUGUUUCCUCUUAAGUUGCUGGGUAUCUGGCAGUUUUACAUGCAUUUGAUCAGACAUUUAAUCUGUCAGAUGGAAUAACGUAGGAUCAGUUUGAUGGAUGAGUUGCAGAACACAUACUAUCCCUGUAGUAGGAAUAGCUGAAACGUCUGAUAACCAUACUUUAUACCAGGCUCUACCUCAUUUUUAUGU
rnacentral:lncRNA from 1 species